UUCAAUCCCUUGUUUCCUUACAAACCCUAAUUUCAGCUCUUCCUCCUCUAGCACAGUUUCACUUCUUACUCUGCUUCUUUCUCUAUUAAAUCUCUUUCAUUUUCAUUUUGUCAACUUCUUGAUAAUAUGCCCGAUGAUGUAGAAACAAAGACAUUGAGCGGUUGCUUUGGUUUUUGUUUUCUCCGGAGCCUUCACUCACCACCACCAUCCCGACCACUUCCACCACCGCCACCGCUCUCACCUUCCUCUUCAUACAUAUUUACAUACAUACAUAUACACAUAUAUACGAGUGGUGGUGUUUUAAGGCUUUGGAGGAACUUCCAUUAGCACAAAAAAACGGCGGAUGAUUUGUUCAAAGCUAUGAGAUCUGAGGGCUUCCCAUGUAUUUUUAUCACUUUUACAAAAUGCCCAUUUUUUUUAUUUGACCUAUUAAUCAUUUCUUUUUUUCUUUUACUCAUUAGUGGUUCUAUGAAGAAAGAUGAUACAAGCGCUCUGAGCAGUGUUCUUAGAAAAAAGAAAAAAGCUGUGAUCUUGAUGCACAUGCAACCUAGAACGCUUUUUCUGAUUCACCCCAGUUUUCUCUUUUUUGGAAAUUUUGUCGUAAUGUUAAUUUUGUCUAUAUUCAUAAACAAGUCUUGUUAGCAAAAUGUCUAAUUUAUUAAUAGAGAAUGUUAGAGUUAGCACUGUACAUUAUUUUUCUUUUUGCUGCUGAAGUGAGUCUCUAUUCUUGCAGUUGCUUCCAUUGUGUACUGAUGAGGAAACCCACAUUUUUAUUCAAUUUUAUUUUAUGUUGCACAUACUGUAGCUUGCUCUUUUUAUUUUUUAUGGUUUUCAAUUAGGUUUUGGCGUUUUGGCAUUUUGCCCAAUGAUGGAAAACUCAUUGAAUGGAGCAGUUUUCCUGAUUUUCAUUUAGAGCUUUUACUAUCAUCUCCGUUGUCACCAUCAUCAUCAUCAUCAUCAGCUCUUUCUAUCCCUCUCUCUCUUUCUCUCUCUUUAUCUAUCUAUCUCUCUAUCUAUCUUCUUAUUGACACGGCUGAUGAUGCGUAAAUUCUCGUAAUGAGAAUUAGUUGUUAAUACUGCGAGUGACCAUACAUAGCUAUGAGAUCUGAGGGCUUUGGUUGAUCAUUUUGAAUCUCAGACUAUCAUGCUGUUUUUGUUUUCUUUGCGUAUGAUUGGUAUGUUGAUCAUACUUGUGCCUACCCUUCACUGAAAUGCAUAAUUAAGAUCAGUUGUCUACCAAGGAAGUUUUUUGGUUGUUGAUUUUGUUCUUUAGUGACUAUAGUAUAGAAAUGUAGUGCUACUGAUUGACAGUACAGUUCUUGUUGGGAUGGUAUGCAUGAGUUUUUCAUUAGUCUGAAUUUUGUCAAUCUUGCUGAAUAUAUCUUGUUUGCAAUUACAAUUUCCACGAUGCGGUCUUUUGUCUCUAGAUGAAAUAAUUGAAGCCUCUCAUAGAAUUUGGGUAAACUGUAGUACCUCUUUGUGUUUUCAAAGUAUUUUCUUGGGGACAGUUUAAUUGAACUUUGAUCAUGUCCUUUUGGAUGCGCUUUACAUGUCUAUUUCAUUGAUGUGAGUAUCUGGCUCUUCUUGAAUUGCUGCUGCGCAAAGGAUGAAAUAUUUAGGCUGUGAAAUAGCAUCAAACAAAUUUGGCCUUUAUUGUUUGUGAGAAAUUCUUGCCAACUUUUUUCUCACCUGAAAUGGUACUUUUAUGUAUGUUAUCUACUAGUACUUACAAAAGUAUGUCAUCUGCUAAUUCUUAGUUGUUCACUUUGGUUCUAUUAAAUCUAGCUAGUCAAUCUUUCAUUGCUUUUCUGUUUAAUAUAUGCUUAAUGAAUUUCAAAGGUUUUUACAUGUGCACAAUUAUGAAAAGUUGGUAGAUUGGGUGGUUUCAAUGAUUUUUAGUUUGAUCCUCUGUCGUUGCUUCUGUUGUUUGUUAUUGUUAUUACCUUUUAUCUGUGAAGAUGUAGAUUGGUCUUAGUGAAAAUCAUGAGCUUUGUAUCUUUUGAUUAUGAUAUUGAUGAAAUCUGAGCUUCUUUUGUUUUUUUGUCUUUUUUGAAUUAUAUUCCUUAUAAAUAUUAUUAUGGGCCUUUGUUUGAUUACAGCCAUUGUAAACAGCGUGUUUUCUGCUUUAUAUUUUUUUUAGUAGCUCAUAAUUCUUUCUAUGAAGUUAUAUGUUUUAACAUUUGAGUCUUGUCCUUGCAUUUUGCCCAAUGAUGAAAAACUCAUUCUUGAUCGAAUGGAUCUGGUUUUAAUUCAUCUUUGGCUUUUGCACACCACCUCUUCAUUCUCUCUCUCUCUCUCUCUCUCUCUCUCUCUCUCUCUCUCUCUCUCNNNNNNNNNNNNNNNNNNNNNNNNNNNNCUCUACUCUCUCUCUCUCUCUCUCUCUCUCUCUCUCUCUCUCUCUCUCUCUCAUGUACACAUGUGUUUGUGUGUAUGUAUGUAUUUAUAUAUAUAUAUUAUAUAUAUUUGGUGGUGUGUGAAAAGCUAUUGACGAAUGCCUUUACUGUGAAUUGUACAUGAUCUUGUUAUAGCUAUGAGAUCUGAGGGCUAUUUUCAAUUGCAUUUUUAUGGCAUGUUUUGUUGGGGGAAUGGAAUAGCCAUUCCUCUCUAUUCCUUACCCCUUUUUAUAAUUGCAUUUUAUUUAUGAAAUGGUCAUUCCGGAAGAGAUUGAUAUAGUCUUUCCUCUUGUUAAUGGCUAUUUCGACUAUGUUGGAAUAGGUUAAAAAAGUUGUUGGACAGAAAUGCCUUUAAUUAAUUUAAAAAAUUACUAUCCUAUAUGACUCAAAACUUUUUCAUUUCCCCUUUUUUUUCUCUCUCUGCAUAUUUGUCUCUCCCUUCUCUCCUAAUUUCCUCCACUAUCGGAGGAUGGUAAAGGGUGGUGGUGGUGCCUCCACAAUUGGAUGUGGCACUACACAACUAGAUCUGAUCGUGGGAAGUGAUGACUAGGUGGUCCAUGGCCAGAUUUGUUUGUGGAAAGCGUCGAUUUGGUGCUCCCCAACUAGAUCUAGUCCUAAGAAAUGUUGGAUUUAGCACUACAUGUUUAGAUUGUAGAAGAAAAUAGAUUGAUUUUUGAUUGACAAUCAGUUACAAGUCAAUAUUUAUGCUUGCCAUAAGGUUUGAUUAUAAGUCAAUUAAGUAUAAUAUUAAUUAAUUAAUUGAAAACUUCAAGUAGAUAAUUAAUUAAUUAAUUGAAAACUUCAAGUAGAUAAUUAAUUAAUUAAUUAAUCUUCGUGAGAUAAUUACAUUAAUUUUGGCACAUGAUAAUCACGUUAAUUAUUCUUAAUACUCCCCCUCAAGAUGAGUAUGAAUGCUUGAUAUUCAAAAUGCUCUUCUUGCUUAACUUUGUUGCAGAUUUUAUGAAUCUAUUUGGGAUUAAUAAUCCUAGUGAAGGUUUUUUCUCUGAUGAAUUUAAUACCAAAAUCUUUAAACAAGAAAAUCAACCACAUGAACUCCCAACCUCUGUUGAAUUUCUUGCAAAAAUAGUUUGUUCCUUGGACUUCCAAUUGAUGAGUGACUGUCUAAGAAAGUAUAUAUAGCCAGUCAUUGAUUUCCUUCUAUCUUGGUAGCUUGUCCCAACACUAUUGGCAUGAGUCGUUAAUUGCAGAAAAGACUUAAUUUAAAAUAAAAUUCUUUUUCCUGGUUCUGUUUUAAGGUAAGUUAAUACCCUAGAGGCUGCCUGCAAAUGAGAAUUCCUUGGUUUGUCCAAGAAUUGUGAUAGUUUGUGCUGUAUAGGCCAUAUUAGGCCUAGUGAGGGUUGAUAGUAAUAAUUUUCCAAUCAAUCAUUUAUAUAUACAAGCUUCUGUCAUCUGAUCAUCAUCGUUGGUCUUGGAGAGCUUGUAAUUGUAAUUAAUGGGAGUGGAAAUUGGUUUAGGUCCCAAUAAAUCACAUUCAUUAAGUCCAAUGUGUAUUUCCUUUGACAAAUGGAAAUACUCCAAACUUAAAAAAUACCUAGGCACCCUAAGAUCCUUAAGUUUGAACCUUGAUUUCAAAUAUGGUUUUACAUCAGUUGCUAUAUGAAUAGCAGAGCUAGCAAUUACCAUGUUAUCUAUAUAUACCAGUAGAGCAAUGAAACCUCAUUAACAUGAAACCUCCAUCUAUAUAUACGAGUAGAGCAUUUUGCGAACUUGGAGUUUUAUUACACAACCUCAUUAAAAUCACCAUUCAAAAAAGUGAUGUCCAAUUGAGAGAAAUGUUGCCCUUUGGAAAUGCUCUUAUUAUUGUUUGCUUAGCAGUAGGACUAUAAAUCUCCUAAUAGUCAAACUCAUCCCUAUUCUUUCGAUUUUAUCCUUUGGUGACAAACCUAGCUUUGUACUUUUUCACACUGUUAUCUGCAUGAAUUUUCAUCUUGUAGACUCUUUUGCAUUCAUUUGCAUGUGAACCUCUAGGAAGGGGCAUUGCAAUCCAUGUGCCAUUGUCCUCCAAAGCAUACAAUUCUGUUUUCAUGAUAUCUUGUCAUUGAACAUAAUUGACAGCUUGAUAAUUUGUGAGGUUCAGGGAUAAGAGAUAAUGAAAAUGGUAUAGGUCUUGUGAGAAGAAGAGAGUUGUUGGGAAGAAAGGUAGCUGGCAAUGGGAUAGACGGUGACAAAACUAGUGUGAGUAGUAUGAGAUGGUAAAUUAUAUUGGUAGGCUUUGAAGUAUUUUGGAGGGUUUCUAAUUCUGUUGAUGUCAUCUCUGUUUGCCAUGCUCAAUUCUCCUAGGGAAAGUACCAAAAUUAGAAAUCUUCCUAGAAAGGCACUGUCAUCAAGACAGUUUAGUUUUUUGUUGAGCAAGAUGAGCAUUUUGAAUAUUCAUGAGCAUUCUGAAUAUUCAUGCUCAUCUUGAGGGAGAGUAUAAGAGCAAUGCAUGUAAUUAUCAUGGUCUUGGCUUGUAAUCAAUUAUUUUGACAAGUAUAAAUAUUACCUUGUAACUGACUUUAAGUUAUGAGAAUCAUUUUUUUUUCUACAUCCAUAUCAGUUUCUUCCUCUCUCAAUCUUUACAUAGUCCAAAGGGUGCAAUGUAUGGUAUUUUGAUUUUUACUUCUGGAGUUGAUUGAUGCCAUAUAUAAGGCCAAACUAUAACCGUACGUGAGUUCAUUGAAAUUUUAAAUAAAGCAUCAGAGAACUGCAAACUAAGCAUUUGUCUGGUUGAUUUAGUUACAUAUAUUAAAUCUGUGCAGUUGGUGAGGCUGGUUGUUUACAGUUUUAUAUGAUAUUUUGUAUUUGUAUUGAGCAAUCUUUUGAUAUUUGCUCUUCCGCCCCCCACUUAUGCCCAAUGAUGAAAAUUUUAUUUGCAAGGAGGUUCAAUGGCAUUGUAUUUUUGCUCUAUCCUUUCCACUACUAGUGUCAUCAUUAGUUUAGGCUCUUCUUCUUCUUCUUCUUCUUUUCUUCGUUAUUAUUCUUAUUGUUAUUAUUAUUAUUUUCAUCCGCAUUACUAUUGAUGAUGCUGGUAAUGGAUGUGGAAAGGUUUUUAGUGAAAUUCAAUAGCAUCACCAUUGAUGAAUUGUUAGAACUUGAGUUCUGACCUCUGAGGGCAUUGCAAGUUCUUCCGCCAUAUGGUGUAUUUGAGAGUUCCAAGUGUUACAAUGUUUCUUCGUUUGAGUUUUAACUAUUUUAACUAGGAUAUUGCAGGUUGUAGGAGUUUCCUUUAAAUAAUAAUGCUAUAGUUUUAACUAGAAAUUUGCUCGCACCUUGCUGCAGGGCAAAAUUUUAAUAUUUGAAAAUUUUACAACAUUAUUUACGUGUUAAUGAUCAAUAUUCAUUAAUUAUUUUUGGUUUUAUGUUAAUUGUAGUGAUAUUAUUCUUGAUAUAACAUAUUAAGCUUUUCAGGAGUUACUUAUUAUACUUUAUCUAUUCUUUUUUUACUUGUAUUGUAGGAAAACCAAACUCUAGCCAAAUCAAAGCAGUCAAAGUUUUGACCUUUUCAUAGGUAAAUAUUUUUUUUUUUGUUUUUUGGUUUAGGGUUUAGAUUUCAUCAACUGUCAAAUUUAUUGUGUUCAAGAUCUAUUUGCAACUUGUUUGUACUUUCUAGCUUGAGUUUUUUAGUCAUGAAUGGUUACAGAUCUUGUCGUGGUAUUCCUAUCAUGUCAUUUGCAAUUUAGAUGUUUGUAACUGGAGGGACAUAACAUCAAUUAUGUCUGAAUAGUUAAAAUUUUAUAUUAUGUAAGCUGUUGUGUAAGCAAUGAACGUGAGUUCUGGUUGCAUUCAAGAUGUAGCAGUAUUUGUGUUUCUAUCCUUGUCUCAUUAGCUCUAUAACACUUAAUGUAAGCUGUUGUGUAAGCAAUGAAUGUUAUAAGGUUGGCAAACUUAGCAUCAGGUCUUUUACCAAAAAUAACUAAGCCUGGAGUCCUAAUGCGCCCAGUUUGCUUAAAAGAGGGAAACCAGCACAAUGAAAAGCUUAAAAUUGACCUUCAUCAAGCCCCAGCCAGCUAUCAAAGCAUUUUAAGUAAACUACAAAGGACAAUCCAAUACAAACCCAUUUGACCUGUGGUCGUGUUAUUUAGCUUUGCCGCUAGAGGUAUGAUAAAUGGAUCUGGUUAAGGUUUAUGUAUAAACUAGGUUAAAAUGUAAGUCCUUUGUCCACAAAGCUGAGGAAGGAAAAUGUGCACGUGUCUUGACUUGGGAGUCAAACCACUCGCUCUGUCCCAAAUUUUAUUUGCCCAAAAAACUUAUAAAAGAGUAAAACAUAUCAUGUUCUGAUUAUGUAGCUCUGAAAUCCAGGUUGUAGUCUUUCUUGUAUGCUCAUGUCUCAUACAUUUUUAUGUUAAAUAAAUGACAUAAAGCAACUCCCAUGGCUAUUUGUUUAUAUUUUAAGUUAUAUAUCGUCCAUUUCAGAUUACAAGCACAACAGUGAACAAGAAUGUUGAUUAAAGGAAAGAAGAGUGAAGCUAAACUUAAGCUAAAUGAAUGGAAUCAGUUUGUUUUAAAUUGUGAAUUGAAUUAAUCUUCCUUCAACUGAAACUUGAUCGUGAGCUUUGGAAAUUUCUUCAUAUGCUUGCCUCUUUCAACCCAUGUGACUUUGACCACAAUAGUUUAUUGUUUACAUUAGAGCCACUUGCCAGUCAGCCUGACUAUGAGUGGAUUUAAAUCUGUAGUUUGACAAUGCAUUUAUGAGAGUGUUUCCAACCUUUAUGGUUCUCUUAAGCUCCAAAAUUUGCAGUUAUGAAUAGUUGCAACUUUUUAGUUGGCUGUUGGUUCACACCUUGAAACUUCUUCACCUAUUAUUGUCAUGAAUGUUGGUCAUUUCGUACCUUAGUUAUUGUCUUUACUAAAACUCUUUAGUUCACACAAUGGAACAAGAAAUGUGAAAUAAUUGGUUAGCUUUCAGAUUUCCUUCAAUAAUAUUUUUUAUGCUUUAUUUGUAAUAACCAAAAUUUGUGUUGAGUGCUUUAUAAAUAUAUCUUGUAUUGGGGUUGAGACAUAUUUGAAUUUGGAUCCGUAUCUUCUAUAUUAGGUUCCUUUUCUUUAAUUUUUUAUUAAGUUAUUAUAUAUUUGUUAUAUGAGAUUAGUUUAGUCUUUCUUCAUAUAAAUUUAAAUUUCAAAUUAUGAAUUAAAGAGUAUAUAUGUAGUCAACAUUUUAGAAAGGAAGAAUAGUUAGAUUUAUUCAAGAAAUUAUAUCAUGUAAAAAUUUACAUUAAAAUAAAGCAUACAAGUAUAUUAAACUUACAUUUUUGUGUAUAAGGAUAAUUUUAAAAGUUAACAUCUUUUUUUUAGUAAAUUGUUGAUAAAUCAGAUGUUGUAAUGUUAUCCUUUUAGUAUUUUAUGAACAUUUUAUAUAUAUGUAUAUAUAUAUUAAAUGUUGCUGUGUUAUCUUCUCAGCAAUUGCAUUUUCUAUAAUAAUUUUGUCACCCACAUUGCAAGGAAAUGUUAUUAACUUUUCGAGGUGGGGACAACAAUGCAUUCCUGGCCCCAAAUGUGCUUUGUCGACGUCUUUGAAAAUAGAACUUUAUAUUAUUAUAUAAAAAUGAAAUAAUGAGGUUUCUUUAGAAAAAAAAAUUAAAGAAAUUAAAAUCAAUUUUAAGAUUAACAUUAUCAUUGAUUAAUUAGCAAAAAGUUUAUAUUUUUUGUUUUUGUUAAAAUAAAAUAAUAGUUAAUUGAUAUUGUUUCUAUCAAAAUUGGUUUUAUAAAUGUAGUAAUAAAAUGUUUAAAAUGCAUUAUGUAAUCAUAUAUUUAUUUAAUUUAAUUAAGUGUAUAUUAUAUGUCACAUUUUUAUGGUUUUUAUAUUGUAAAAAUUUUUUAAAUGUUAUUUUAUUUGUUUAAAAAUAAUGCUCAAGGGAUAUACUUGACCAUGAUUCCUUUAUUAGUUAUAUGUACGUCAAGGCCUGAGCCUUGAGAGGUGAGGUAUUGUGUGGGAUUAGUGUUAAUUAAGAGUAAUGUUAUGGAGUCUUAUUGCUGAUUGUUGAGGUAGUGGUGGCUGUUAUAUUACAGUUCUCCGAAUAUUUUCUGUGUACUAUAGUUAUUUAUUUUAUGGUAUUGUAAUAUUAAAUAAAUAAAAAUUCCUUCUACCAUCACUACUAUUAUUUUCCUCCAUGGGCCAUGUUUUGGUUUAGCAAUUGCAGCCAUUCAAGAAAUGCAAUUUGCAUUCAUAAUUUUUAUAAUCAAUUUUAAUGCUAAGAGUUAAAAUGAGGAAAAUAAUGUACGAUAUGUGUUACUGUGUGUAAAUUGUUGAUUUGGUGAACUUGUUUAUUUCAAAAAUGACAUCGAAUUGAAUAUUUAAAAAUGAUUGAAUCAAUCAAAAAUCAAAUUAUUUUGAUCGGUUUAUUCAGAUUAUGAAAAUUGAAAUCAAAUUCAUACUAAUUAAAAAUAGUAUAUGUUGAAAUCAUGUUUCAAAGUAAUAUAUAAGUAUAAAUUUCAACUUAACAAGUAGUAGAGAACAUUAUAAAAAUGAGAGAUAUCAACGGAUCGGGUAUCUUAUAAUUUCGAGGUACCCAAACUCUAAUCUUAUAAAAAAUCAACUAUUCUAACUCUAUUAACUACUCGAAUAAUUUUAAAAUUACUAUAAUUUUAUUACAUUUUUAUUAUUUUAUAAUUACCCUAAUCCGUUUAAAAAUUCGAUUAAAUUUAAAAAAUUAUUAAAAUCUUCUUUACAUGUACCCAAUUACUUAAACCUGUAUGCAUAUACAAUAAUAUUUUUUUACGUGUUUCAUAAAAUUAAUUACUAAUUAAAUUAAUAAAAACAAAAAUAAUAAAUUUUUAAUUUAAAUAAUCAAAAACAAAUAUUGUAAACAUAAACUUAAAUAAUUAAAAAUAAAUAUCCAUACAACGAUAUAAACUUAAAUAACUAUACAUAAAUUUUCAAAUAACAACAUAAACUUAAAUAACUAAACACAAAUAUCCAAACAAAUGACAUAAACUUAAAUAACAAAAAAUAUAAUUUUUUAUAAGUUAUAAUUCUUAUAAUGUUAACAAAAAAAAUAAAUAUAUUUAUAUUUAAAGUAUAUAUACUAAAAGUAUUACAAUGUAUAUACAAAAUAGUAAUUAUAUUCUUUAUAAAUGAACCCAAUGUAUAUAAAGUAUAGAUGUUAAAAGACAAUAUAAUUUAAUUAAUAAUCAUAAUUUUAUUAAUUAAUUAUAUGAAUUUGUCUUUAGUUACAUGAAAUUUUAAAAAAAANUAUAUAAUUGAAAUAUUAAUCUUCUUAUAUAUAUAAUUAUAAAAUUACUUUUACACUUAAGAAAUACUAGUAUUUUACAUAUAAUUAUUAUUUUAAUAUUAAAUAAAAAAUAAGUAUUCAAUUUUCAAUGCUACAACAAUAAAUAUCAAUAUAUAUAUAUAUAUGUAUAUAUUACAAUUAAUAAUUUUAUAAGUUAUAAUUUUUAUAAUGUUAACACAAAAUAAAAAUAAAUAUAUUUAUAUUAAAGUAUAUAUACUAAAAGUAUUAGUAUAUACAUAAUAUAGUAAUUAUAUUUCUUACAAAUGAACCCAAUAUAUAUAAUAUAUAUAUUUAAAAACAUUUCAAGUUAAUUAAUAAUCAUAGUUUAAUGAAUUAAUUUAAUUAACUAUAUGAGUUUGUUUUUAAUUACAUUAAAUUAAAAAAUAGUUAGAUUCCAAAACUAUUCUAAACUCAAAGACUCUCUUUAAGUGUACAUAUUAUAAGUUAUAAUUUUUGUAAUCUUAACCCAAAAUAAAAAGUAAAUACAUUUUUAUUAAAAAUAUAUAUAAUAGUAAUUAUAUUUUUUAUAAUAUAAUAUGAUAUUCAUAUUAUUUAAACAUAAUUAAUAAUCUAAUAAUAUUUUAUUUAUAUAUAUUCAUAUCAUCACAUUAGUAAUUUAACUAACUAUAUUUUUAAUAUAUUUGUUAACAUUUAACAAAGGAAAUUGUUGAUCAAUAUGAUAUAGCCUUUUGAUGUCUUUUUUCCUUACAUGGGUUCGAAUCUAAUUAGCAUCAGUUUUAUUCAAUUAUUUAAAUAAUAAAAAAAUAUAUAAACGGGUAGUUAUAAACGAGUUCGGGGCAAGUACCUUAAGGGUAAUACCCGAACCUGAUUCGAGUAGUGAAAUCACUACUCGAACCCGUUUAUUGGGUACCCUAACCCGGUGUAAUCGGGUCGGGUACCUUAUAAUAGGGUACCCGUUGGCAUCCUUAAUAAAAAUAUAAGAUACCUAUUGACAUUCCUAAUAAAAAUUAGUACAUGUAUGUAUAUAAUAAUUUUAAAAUAUAUUAUUUUAUAUUCAAUUUUUGAUUGAUUUGAUUAUAAUAAAUAAAAAAUUCAAAAUAAUUGAAAUCAAUUUGGUUGGAUGAUUUUUCGCAUUCAAAAUUUUUCUCACCCCUAUUUAGAAUAUCAACCUUCAAAGAUGCAUUAAAGAAUAUUAGAAUACCAUCACAAUUGAGAUCUUUUGUCAUAAGUUUAAUUAUAUUUACUAGGAGUGACUAAUUGAACAAUUUAGUUGAUGCAGUCUAUCAUAAUUAAAGAUUAAAUAGAUUAAACAUUUUUAGAAAAUAGAUUAGAAUAGAUUAAAUAUAAAAGAGAUAUCGAACUGAUCAAAUAUCAAAUUGGUUCGAUUUUGGAUUGAAAUGAUUAAAAUUUUAUUUUAUUUUUGACAAAUUACAAUAUGAAAAUUUAUAAAUUUAAUCUAUAAUUAUAAAAUAUACACAUAAUUUAAAUACAAAAAAAUAUAACAUUUGUUAUUUUACUUACAUAAUUAUGUCCUUUUACAUAAACCAUUAAAUUAUCAUUCAAAAUUUACCAUAACAAAGAUAAUAAAAUUAACAUAUACAAAACAAAAUCAUCUAACACAAGACAAUCCAUCAUUACAUAUCAUAAAUUGAAAAUCUUUCAUGACUUGACUCUUCAUAGUCACCCACAAAGACUAUAUAGUAAUUAAAAUAAUAUAAAAAAUGUAAUUAUUUAUAUUAAAUUGAUAUUUUGGUCAAAUAUAGUUAAAAAUUUAACAAUUAAAAAGUAAUUAAAUAAAUUAAUUUGAUCAAACUUUUUAGAUCAAUAAAUUUAAUAAACCAAUUGAAUCAAAUUAUUUUGUUUAAAUUACGUUUAAUUCAAUUGAGUUAUUGGUCCGGUCCAGUUAAUUGCAACUUCAGCAUUCCAUGACCAACUAGGAGCCCAUUUUUCCACUGGGGCUGUCUCUCAUCCUGGCCUUUGCUUAAAUGCUUGUACUUUCUCUCGCCCAUCCCUUUGCAACUCCUACCAGUAUCACAUCUUAUUUUUAGCCCACUUUUUCUUCUUUUUUUAAUUAUUUUGGGUGAAGAGGGAAACCCAAUUUUUAUUGUUCAUUCUUUAAGAUUCGAUGCUCUUUGUCCAAUGAUAGCAGAGCCAUAGAAGGGACGCAUGAGGUGAGCUCUUUUUUUGUUAUUUCUUUUUAUUCUUCUUUGUUGUUGAUUGAUUACUGUAUGGAAGAGCCUUUCUGCUAUGAAUUUCAAGUUUUGAUGUUGCAGCUUCAAUUCAAAUGUUUCAAACACUGUAACAUUUUUGCAGAAUGCUACUCUUUUUUUUUUCUGCAUUGGUGUUUGGCCCAAUGAUUGAAACCUCAUUGAACUGAAGCAGUCAUCUCUAAUUUUCGCUUUGGGCAUUUGCUAUCAGCAAUGGCAUCAACAGCAUCUUUCUUUCUGUUUCUUUUUCUUCUUUUUGGUGCAUAUGAAGAACUGGUCUUUCUCUCUCUUUAUUCGUAUGGACACGGCUGCCGAUGUGGCGAAGGCUCUUGACGAAAAUCAGUUGGUUAAAAGUUAAAACUACGAAUGAUCAUUUAUAGCUAUGAGAUCUGAAGGCUGGUUGCAUGAUUUUCAAUCUUUAUCUUUACAAUGCUGCUUUUGUUUCCUUGGCAUAUGAAUUUCAUGUAAUUGAGUAAUUAGCAGUUCCCUACCAUGAAAAUCUUUGGGUUUCUGGUUUUGUUCUACACUGACUACGGUUAGAAAUAUCAAUGCUGCUGAACGCUUGUAGCAUGCUCAUUGGGAGUUGGGACUAAUAGUAGUUGAUAUCUUUUUUUAAUGCUUAAUGUAAUUGCUUGGUGACAAAUCAACUCUAUUUUGCUUUUCUGGAUGCACUUUUUAUGUUUGUUCCUUCAAUGUGAGCAUCUUCCUCUUCUUUAAUUUCUGCUGUGUAAAUCAUGAAACUUUUAGUUGUCUCCGAGCAAGGGUUGUCAAUGUUCUGUUUCUUUUUGUAUUAGCUUGUGCUUUGUGCGUGUUUUUUGCUAAUCCUUGAUGAUUUAAUUUUUUGUGCUAUUAAGUUUAGCUAGUCAAUUGUUUGUUAAUAUAUAAUGUAAAUAUAUGCUUAACAAAUUUCAACUGCUUUGAAAUGUGUGGCCAAUGAUGAGAUUCAUUGCCUCAGGUAGUUGUCUUGAUUUUCAUUUUGAACCUCCAUCAUUGCUUUUGCCAACCUGUUCUUGUUGUUGUUGUUUAUCCCUGAAGGUGUGGAUUGGCAUUUAUAAAAAUCAUGAGUCAUUACUGUUUGAAUAUGACACUGUUGAGAUCAGAGGGUAUUACCUUUUCCAUAGAAUAUCAAAUGGGUUGUAAAUCUUUCAACUGGAAAUUGUUUUUCAUUUUCUAAAAUGUCUAAUAAAAUGUUUUAGAUGCAGUGUGGAUUAGAGAUUAGUUGCAUACAAUGAAUAUUUAUGGAGUUUGAUUGAUUAUAGUUUAGAUGAGCCUGGCGAUUUAAAUUUCAGGUUUUGGUGUUUCAGGCUCAAUGAUGAUAUUUGUAAACUGGAGUUUCUUCCCGACAUUAAUGCAUUUUAUGAUUUGAGUUUGAGUUUUUCUAACAUUGUUGAGCAAAGCUUUCUGGACCUAAUUUGUAGCAUACUUUUUGUAUUUGGUGUUUAGCCCAAUGAUAGAACACUCAUUGAAUGGAGCAGUUAUUUCUGAUUCUCAUUUGAGCAUUAGCUAUUGUCAUCUCUGUCAUUGUCAUCAUCAUCACCAAUCACCGUCAGAAACGAACAAAAUACCAAAGUGGCUCUCUCUCUCUCUGACUGGAUAUAUACCUAUAUAUCUUCCUAUUGACAUGGCUGAUGAUGUGUGAAGGGUCUUUAGAACCGGUUACCUAAUUCCGUGGAUGACCAAAUUUAUCUGUGAAAUCUGAGGGUUUUUUUUAAUCAUUUUGAUACUUGUCUGGAAUGCAUAAUUACAUAAUUAGCUUUGUGUACCGCGGAAAUCUUUGUUUUGUGAUUUUAUUCUAUAGUGACUACAGUAUAGGAAAGUUUAUGCUGCUGCUUCUGCUGCUAUUGUUGUCAUUAUUGCUGUGUAUUUUUUUAAAAAUCAUGAGCUUCAUUGUAUUUUGAUUAUGAUACUCCUAAAGGCAUUGCAUUUUUGUAAAAAGAGUUUUUAUUAUAUCUUCCUUUAAGUGUUGUUAUGGGCCUUUCAGUGUAGUGCUCUGAAGCUAUAGUUAUGAGUUGCUCAACGCAAAUUCCUUUAACUAGUUGUCAUAGUAGAUCAUAGUUUUUUCCUAUUUGAAGUAGGUGCUGUUAUUAGAUAUUUCUGUCUGGAGUUACAGUGAGAUCCUACACUACAGUUAAUGCUUUUUGCCCAAUGAUGGAAAAGCUCAUUUUGAUUUGGAGGUUCUGGUUUUUAAUUCAUCUCUAGCUUUUACACACCACCUCCUUCAUCCAAUCUCUGUGUGUGUGUGUGUGUGUGUGUGUGUGCGUGCGUGUGUGUGUGAGAGAGAGAGAGAGAGAGAGAGGCUAUAGAUGAAUACCAUUAUGUGAGCUGUAAAUGAUCUUGUCAAAGCUAUGAGAUCUGAGGCACUCUUUUGAAUUGCACUUUUAUGGGUCUGAAAGACAGAUGUAAUCUUUGGCAAAAAACAGAAGACAAAAAAAUGAGUUUACCCUUAGUCCAAAGGGCACAUGGUGUGUGAUUUGAUUUUGAGUUAUGGAAUUUAUUGGGGCCAUAUAUAGCUCCAAAUUAUAACUAGUUAACAUGUUUAUUGAAAUUUUAGUUAAGCAUUGGAGAACUGCAAAUUGAGCAAUUCCUCUUUCAUAUUCUCUCUCUCUCUCACACACGCACGUUUAACUAAUAUUAGAUUUUUGCAGUUGGGUGAGCUGAUUUUUACUUUUGUUUUUGUUUGUGUCCCAAGGCAGUUCUCGAUAUAUCUUUUACCUGUGUAAUUUCAAUUGUUGUUAUCAUUAUUAUUAUAUUGUCGUAUUACUGUGCAUAGUACUGAUAGUGGCUGUGGAAUAGUUUUCUGUUAAAACUUAUAGCUUUACUAUCUGUAUAUUGUUAGAAGUAUCAGUUCUGACCUUGGAGAACAUUUUAGAUUCUUUGUCUUUUGUGUUGUAUCGAUAGUUAAUAUGUUUUGAGGUUUUUGACUUAACAGUUUGCAGGUUGUAUGAGUUCAGUUAUACUGCACGGUAAGAGUCAGAUAUCACACUUUUCAGUACUCUGAUAUGACUAUUACUAUGUUGAGUUGCAUUUUGAAUAGCCACAGGCCUGACCCAUGGCUGCUCAUUUGUUGCACUCUUGAACCUUCCUUCCUUUAUUCUUCACAAUUUGAUGGUUUUUAUGGCUGCUAGAUGAAAAUAAGGCUUCAUGUUUUUUCUUUUGCUUUGGUUUAAUGGUAUUUAUUUCUUGCUUUUAUGUGGCACUUUAUUAUACCUGAAGAUGCCCUGUUACUUGAAUAGUAGCAUAUAUGACAACAUGGACCCAAAUCCUUCUUUUUUCUUGUACACCAACAUCUUUCUCUUUCUCAUGACUCUUCUGGAACCCAUUUUUUAAGACAUUUGAUUGGUUACUUUGUUUUCAUCAAUAUUGCUUUAUUUGCAUUGUUUGGGUAUUUAUCUCCUUUUUGCCCAAUGAUGGACAAAUUAAUUUUAUCUAGUGGUUAUGUGGAUUAUUCACUAAUAAUCUAUAUAUGCCAUGGGUGAGUGUCUGGGUGGGUGUGUUGUGUUUGUGUAUGUGUGUGCAUGUGCAUGUACGUGUGUGUGUCUGUGUGUGGGUGUUGGUGGUUGGUGUAUAAAGGCGUUUAAUGAACGCCAUUGGCAAUAUACCACAUAUGAUCAAUCUAAGCUAUGAGAUCUGAGGGCAUUUUCUUGUUACUUUUUCUUUGCUUUUCUGAUUUUUUUUUUGGCCGAGGUUAUGGGUGGUGCAGGGCAUUCCUCCCUCAAACCUACUUGCCAGCAUAUUCUAAUAGUUGCCACUUUUUGGAGUUUUGAGAAAUGCAUUUGCCUUUUACAUUUGUUCUAACCAUAUCUCCAUGUAUUGCUUCUUGUCCUGCAGUUUACCGAUACAUUAAAGUACAAUAAAUACAAGAUACCCACGUACAUUGGCUCCAGUUCAAUGCUAGUGUGCUGCACACUGACACCGAUAAUGCUAAGGCACAAGAUUUUGUGAUUAACCCACAGAAGAGUAUAGGAAAGGCCAAAACAACAGAAAUAAAAAAGCCCUCUAUCACGCACGAACAGGGUGAAAAAAUUCAUCACAGAGAAAACCAAAAUGGAACGGCACAUACAGAGAUUCCUAAACAAAGUGUCACUUUUAUCAAUCACCAUAGCCACAAUUACUCUCCUCUUCCUCUUCCUCCAAACCCCAGAAACCUGCAUCCCACACGACACUACCCUAAAGCCUCAUCUUAGAUUCCCCAAAUCUACCUGUGACUCUUCCCCUCGUCACUACCUCCCUCUUCCCAAGAAGAAUACCCGCCUCUGGUCCUCCAAGUCUUGGAUCACCCAGGUCUCUUCCUUUACUCAAUUAUUCACCCAACUAUACAAAAUGGGUCUCCUCAAGAAGCACUCCAAAGUCCUUUGUGUCUCUGCUGGAGCAGGCCAUGAGGUCAUGGCUCUAUCCAAAAUGGGUGUUGAGGAUGUUACAGGUGUUGAAGUGAUAGAGUCUUUGCCUCUGGUUAGCAAGGCGGAUCCUCAUAAUCUUCCCUUCUUUGAUGGGGCUUUCGAUGUUGCCUUUACUGGGCAUUUGGUGGAGGCUUUGUAUCCUAGGCGGUAUGCGGGGGAGAUGGAGAGGACUGUGAGAGAAAGUGGAGUGUGUGUGGUGGUAGUGGACGAGUGUGGUGAUGAGGAAGUGAAGGAGAUUGUUUGGCUGUUUAGGAGGUCCAGGCUUGUUGGCACUUCCAAUGUCACCUUGAACAGAAGAAGAGUGACGAGGAUUAUACUGAGAACUAUAGCUUCUGCCUAAUCAAUUGUGGUUAAUUAUUGUCUUUGAUAGAGCUUAUGCGAUUAGAUUAAACUAGCUUUGAUUUUGUGGUGUUGAAUUUAUUAUGUGAAUUUCUGUACAUUUGUUGGUUAUGGUGUACAAAUAUUUUGAUGGUCGAAAUCAAUUUAUACCUUUUGAAUGUAAAGAAAUGUAAAAUGAAAAUUUGGGCCCAAGCCCAAAGAGAGGUUUAAAUAAAAGUAAUAAUAACUCAAGGCUGGUGCCACUGGUUACCAACAAACCACUUACAGAUGAGCCUAGUCUAAAACCUUAAACCCUUCCAUUUCCAUAAACCUCAGACUUUAGUGUCAGACAGAAUCUCCGUUUUCCCUCCCCUCUUCUUUCCCCGCCAGACCCAAGAGAGAGAAAAAUGGGGUCAGCUUUGGAAGCCAGGAGUUUGAGAAAGGCAGUGGUGCCAUUAACACUCCUAGAGAAUCCAUCUCCUGGAAACCUCCAGUCAACUCGCCUUGCUCUCCAUGUAUGCACAUUUUCUUUCAUAUUCCAUGAAUUCAUUAUUACCCAUGUCCUUAGUUUUAUCUAAUUCUUGGUCAGGUGAAUGAGGAUGGCUCUUCGUGUUGGGUUUACAUUGCCUCCGGAUGCAACAUCUACAAACUCCAGGUACAUACGCAUAAUUUGGAAAUUUCUAUAUUUAUCAGGCAGGGUCCCUUCGAAAUUAAUUUCUUAUAAACUCCUUUCUAUCUUUCUUUUUAUAAUUUUUUUAAUAAUUAAUUUUGAUAGAUUCCGCUGCAAGAUUCUUGGCUUAGCAAAGGGAAAGAAGGCCUCCUUAUUCCCGAGCUAACAAAGGUACUAUUAUUUCACUUUCAGCACGCCAUUCAUAAUUUUUCUAGGAAGGAAGAAUGAGGACUUGAAAUAACCUUGUGUUGCUGUUAUUCGUUUAGUUAUAUAGUCAUCUUAUCAACUUUGAUUUUGAAGGUUAUAGACUCUUCUUUGCUUAAGAGGUGCCCUCAUCGUUCAGAAAUUCAGGGUAUUGUACUUGCCGAAAUUGAAAGUAAGUGUCUUUUCAAUUGACAUUUAGUAUAUUUUUUAAUUUGAUGAUAUCUUAUAGAAUGCAUUUCUAUAGCUCACGUUAUACAUUAAAUGGCAUAUGAAUGAUUGUAGUUUGGCCGAAAGAGGAACAUCGAAUUGUCACUCUCUUUUUGCUUAUAUCUUAAUGACAUACAUGGUAUAACUAGUAUAGCAAGUUUCAUUCUACACAUGGAGAGGGAGGGUAGAUGUUGUUUUUGGUUGAUGAAACUGUCAGCAUACAUCUCAUAUCUCUCUUUAGUAUAGUGGCCCUUAUUUGUAACAUUUAGAGGGUGAAACUGUCAAUUGUUAAAUCUUGUUCAACUUAGGCAUCUGUUGAUACAACACAUUUAGCUGGCCCUUGCAAACUAUAACAAUGAAAAAAACCAUUGAUUAUCCAUUAAAACACUUGGACUCAAGGCCUGGUAUCAGUUUUUUAACUUGCGUACAUUCAUGUGAAGUUAUUUGUAAACCUAGUGCUGCAUAUGGGUCAGGGUGGUUCAGAUAUUAGCUAACUUACUAACUGAACUGAGGUUUUCCAUUUUUAAAAAUCUCAAACUGAACCCACAUUGAAAGGUAAGAAAAACUAAAUGUAACUGAGACCAAAUUAGUUGAUUUUUUCAGUUCGGUUUCUCAGGUUUUUUGUCUUCAUCACAUCACCCAAAUUUAGUGCAUUUGCAGAUAUUCAAUUCCUUUUUAAACCCUUUCAGAAAUUUUUGCCCCUGAAUCAAAUAAAAAUCACAAAGCUAACCCUAAAAGCAAGGCAUCUUAAAUCAAAAGAUUUCAAAUGUGAUCUCUCAAGUAUUAGAUCUGAUCCCCAACCUUGCAGAAAAGGAGAAGGUGAAAGAAGAUUUUAAAUAUAGAGCUAGAAUUGGGAUAUCUCCAGGCAGUGCUUCAUGAAGAAAGAAGCUCGAGCAAUAUGAACAAUAAGAAAGUUUAAUGUUAAAAAAGGUUGCUUAAGAGAAAAAAGAGAGAGAAGCCAGCAGUGAUAAGAGAUUAUGAACUAAAAAACUGGAAUGAGAAAGAAAUAAGAUAGAGAAAUUAUAAGAUUAAAAAAUAGUUGAGAAAACAAAGAAAGCACCCUAGUCACACUGUAUUCAUGUGACUUGCAUUCAAAUCUAGUCAAAUGCCAAUGUCAAAUCUCACUUAUGCAUGAGCUGUAUUUUAUUGUUUGAUAGAAUGAUAAGGUAUGGUUUGGUUUGGAUAAUGUCGGAUAUGCACAAAAUCCAAAACCAAAUCAAAUAGUUUGGUUAUCUUAACCUCAGAUUGAUUCGGUUUUCGGUUUGCACAGCCCUAAUCAAACCUGCAUAAGUUUUACUUCCAGCUGUACUUUUAGCUGUUUUUUGCAUCGAUGAGGUUGAAUUUGUUAAUAAUACUAACCUUGAAAUGCCAAGUAGCGUUGGCUCCUGUAUUGCUUUCGUUUUUGAAAGUUUUCUUGUAGUUCUUUCUUACUUCACAUGGUAUAUCAUCAUUACUUUUUUUUUUGUUUUUGUUUCCCUCGGAAAUGGUUUAGUGGCUCUGAAUAAUUAUAAGGGGCUAAAUCCUUUCAUGCCUUUUGGAUCUGAUUGAUAUUUUAUUCUGAUUAUGCUGCAUCGAAGUUUCUUUAUGAAACCUUGAUGUUGGUGCUAUUGAACUACAGUAUCUAUGAGUGUUUUAUGCAUGUUCAAACUGUGAUGCAAUGUCUGCAGGCACUGGUUACUUAGUAUUGGGAAGCGUGGAUGCUUAUGGUCAUCUUAUUGUCUCUAAACUGGAUGCUAGUGGUAAAGGUACAUCCCCUAAUUUAUUUUUCAUAUUUCUCUAGUUUAUAAGUAGGUAUGAUGGUGAAGUUUCUAGCAUAUUCUUCUUCAUAUUUCAAACACUAGUAGUUUGCAGCCCUUCCCUUUCAGAGAAGCAGUUAACCAGCUGUAUGUUACUCGUUUUAAUCGUUUGGAUCUUUGCAAGUAGAAGUUUCUGUCUGGCAGGCAUGUCUAACUCAAAAGUAACAAAUGAGAUUUAUACUUUCUCUUAGGGCUUUCUUGAGUAGUUCCCGUUAGUUCCUUAACAUGACAGUUGUUUAGCCUUACCCAUUUCUUUUCAUCUUUCAGAUGCAAGUACUAAACUAACAUUUAAGGAAACACUUUUAGUUGCCUAACUACUACUAGUUCUGGUUGAUCAUCAAAAUGAGGCUGGUCGGAAUAGAAUCAUUUUUUGCUUUCUGCUGUGGUGUCAUGCUGUCAAUGAUAUUCAGCCAUGGGUUUCUCAAGACUUGCUAAUUUUAUUUAAUUCCAUUAUCUGAAUGCAUCCUCAUAUAUUACUUAUCCGUAGCCCUCUUUUGUUUAUUGAUUUGUUGGAUUCAUAUGACAUGUGGUUUUGGAUGGAGAAAGACUUUGAGGGGAAAAGGGGGGAAAGUUGAGAACUUUUAGAAAUUAAAUCUGUCUGAUAUAAAAUGUCCAAAAAUAUUGGGUCAUCCCUCUUAGAAUAAUGGGGAGAGUGGGGGAAAAAGAACUAAUAGUUGUCUCUGUAUCUGCAACAGCUGACUAUAUGUAAAUCAGUUCUUUUUUCGCUGGUGAGUUUUAUAUCAUUUUGUUCGCCAAAUUUUUGUUUUAAGUCGUUAAGGAGUCUUAUCAAGGCCUACUGCUGAAAUUUUCAGAUGUGGACAAGAUUACCUAUUCAGUGUUACCUCGGGAUUUUGGUGUUGGAGAAGGUAGUUGGUCUGGGCUUUGCUUCAGUCCAACUCAAUGGUCCAUGGUAUGUGGUAUUCACUAAAAAAAAAAAAAAACCUGAAACUGAUAAAAUUCUAUAGAAUGUUAAAAUUUCUUAAGGACGUGGAAUCUAAAAGGACAUUUGAUUUAGCACACUGUUUGUCUAUAUGGCUAUACCUAGUAAAAGCCACUAGGCCUUUGAAUUUUAGUCACAGCUAUGAACUUGGGAGCAGCAGGGAGAUGCAUGAAGGAAAUUGGCUUUAAAUUAUGUUGUCACAGCUAGAACAUCUUCUGGAUCAGUACUUAUUGCACUAAACUAUUUUUACCUUUAAUUAGGGCUUCACUUUGCACUAUCUUAUUUCUUAAUCCAGGCAGCUGUGGCACAAAGCUUCUGCAAAAGUAUUGAUGUUUAUGACCAGGAUAUUCAUUUUCGGACUUUACGUACGUGAGUACUAUAUCUUUCGGAUCUAUCUAUUACAUGUAUAUUGGCAUGUGUAUAACGUCAAGGUCAUCCCUAUCUUAUAAUGAUGUAGGAAGUAGGGGACUCAAAAAUUCUUCAUCAUAGUUCUCCCUGAGCUACUAUCCAAAUAAUAUCUUCUCCGUUCUAGAUAGAGGUGAAUGGUUGCAACGGGGUAUUAUAAUUGAGAAAAGUACGGGCUUGACAGGUUAUUAAUUUUAGCGCAGUCAACAUUUCAAAUAAAGAAGUUUUUUCAGUUUUGUGAAUUUCCUAUUCAGUAGUAGAUGACUAGAAACCAUAGCAACAUGUGCACAAGCCUUGUCUGGAGAUACCUAUACUAUUAUUGAUGUCAAGAUAUGGCAAGGAAUUUGCUGCUAUCUGACCAGGGGAGUUUCUUUAUGGUCAUUCAUCAUUUCUUUUUCAUGUAAAUUUUUUUAGUUGUACUAGAAAUGUAAAGCCUUUCAAACACAACCUUUUAAAACAACUAAGUCUGGAAAAUUUUUUGUGCUCACUAUGUAGUUGUUGAUGUCAUUUGUAACAUUUAUUUAUUUGAUUUAUUGUUCGGUCAUACUGAAGCAGUUACUUCUUUUACU
rnacentral:lncRNA from 1 species